rnacentral:rRNA from 1 species
GCAGUCGAGCGGUAGCACAGAGAGCUUGCUCUCGGGUGACGAGCGGCGGACGGCCUUAUUAAUGUCUGGGAAACUGCCUGAUGGAGGGGGAUAACUACUGGAAACGGUAGCUAAUACCGCAUAACGUCGCAAGACCAAAGUGGGGGACCUUCGGGCCUCAUGCCAUCAGAUGUGCCCAGAUGGGAUUAGCUAGUAGGUGGGGUAACGGCUCACCUAGGCGACGAUCCCUAGCUGGUCUGAGAGGAUGACCAGCCACACUGGAACUGAGACACGGUCCAGACUCCUACGGGAGGCAGCAGUGGGGAAUAUUGCACAAUGGGCGCAAGCCUGAUGCAGCCAUGCCGCGUGUGUGAAGAAGGCCUUCGGGUUGUAAAGCACUUUCAGCGGGGAGGAAGGCGAUAAGGUUAAUAACCUCAUCGAUUGACGUUACCCGCAGAAGAAGCACCGGCUAACUCCGUGCCAGCAGCCGCGGUAAUACGGAGGGUGCAAGCGUUAAUCGGAAUUACUGGGCGUAAAGCGCACGCAGGCGGUCUGUCAAGUCGGAUGUGAAAUCCCCGGGCUCAACCUGGGAACUGCAUUCGAAACUGGCAGGCUAGAGUCUUGUAGAGGGGGGUAGAAUUCCAGGUGUAGCGGUGAAAAUGCGUAGAGAUCUGGAGGAAUACCGGUGGCGAAGGCGGCCCCCUGGACAAAGACUGACGCUCAGGUGCGAAAGCGUGGGGAGCAAACAGGAUUAGAUACCCUGGUAGUCCACGCUGUAAACGAUGUCGAUUUGGAAGGUUGUGCCCUUGAGGCGUGGCUUCCGGAGCUAACGCGUUUAAAUCGACCGCCUGGGGAGUACGGCCGCAAGGUUAAAACUCAAAUGAAUUGACGGGGGCCCGCACAAGCGGUGGAGCAUGUGGUUUAAUUCGAUGCAACGCGAAGAACCUUACCUGGUCUUGACAUCCACAGAACUUUCCAGAGAUGGAUUGGUGCCUUCGGGAACUGUGAGACAGGUGCUGCAUGGCUGUCGUCAGCUCGUGUUGUGAAAUGUUGGGUUAAGUCCCGCAACGAGCGCAACCCUUAUCCUUUGUUGCCAGCGGUCCGGCCGGGAACUCAAAGGAGACUGCCAGUGAUAAACUGGAGGAAGGUGGGGAUGACGUCAAGUCAUCAUGGCCCUUACGACCAGGGCUACACACGUGCUACAAUGGCAUAUACAAAGAGAAGCGACCUCGCGAGAGCAAGCGGACCUCAUAAAGUAUGUCGUAGUCCGGAUUGGAGUCUGCAACUCGACUCCAUGAAGUCGGAAUCGCUAGUAAUCGUAGAUCAGAAUGCUACGGUGAAUACGUUCCCGGGCCUUGUACACACCGCCCGUCACACCAUGGGAGUGGGUUGCAA